rnacentral:rRNA from 1 species
CCUACGGAGGCAGCAGUGGGGAAUAUUGGGCAAUGGGCGAAAGCCUGACCCAGCAACGCCGCGUGAAGGAAGAAGGCUUUCGGGUUGUAAACUUCUUUUGACAGGGAAGAGCAGAAGACGGUACCUGUCGAAUAAGCCACGGCUAACCACGUGCCAGCAGCCGCGGUAAUACGUAGGUGGCAAGCGUUGUCCGGAGUUCAUGGGUGUAAAGGGCGUGUAGCCGGGCGGACAAGUCAGAUGUGAAAUCCGGGGGCUCAACCCCCGAAGUGCAUUGGAAACUGUUUGUCUUGAGUAUAGGAGAGGCAGGCGGAAUUCCUAGUGUAGCGGUGAAAUGCGUAGAUAUUAGGAGGAACACCAGGGGCGAAGGCGACCUGCUGGUCGACAACUGACGGUGAGGUGCGAAAGCGUGGGGAGCAAACAGGAUUAGAUACCCCUGGAGUC